rnacentral:rRNA from 1 species
UAGGGAAUCUUCCACAAUGGGCGCAAGCCUGAUGGAGCAACACCGCGUGAGUGAAGAAGGGUUUCGGCUCGUAAAGCUCUGUUGUUAAAGAAGAACACGUAUGAGAGUAACUGUUCAUUACGUUGACGGUUGUUUAACCAAGAAAGUCACGGCUAACUACGUGCCAC